rnacentral:rRNA from 1 species
UGGGGAAUUUUGGACAAUGGGCGAAAGCCUGAUCCAGCAAUGCCGCGUGUGUGAAGAAGGCCUUCGGGUUGUAAAGCACUUUUGUCCGGAAAGAAAUCCUUGGCUCUAAUACAGUCGGGGGAUGACGGUACCGGAAGAAUAAGCACCGGCUAACUACGUGCCAGCAGCCGCGGUAAUACGUAGGGUGCAAGCGUUAAUCGGAAUUACUGGGCGUAAAGCGUGCGCAGGCGGUUUGCUAAGACCGAUGUGAAAUCCCCGGGCUCAACCUGGGAACUGCAUUGGUGACUGGCAGGCUAGAGUAUGGCAGAGGGGGGUUAGAAUUCCACGUGUAGCAGUGAAAUGCGUAGAGAUGUGGAGGAAUACCGAUGGCGAAGGCAGCCCCCUGGGCCAAUACUGACGCUCAUGCACGAAAGCGUGGGGAGCAAAACAGGAUUAGAUACCCUGGUAGUCCACGCCCUAAACGAUGUCAACUAGUUGUGGGGAUUCAUUUCCUUAGUAACGUAGCUAACGCGUGAAGUUGACCGCCUGGGGAGUACGGUCGCAAGAUUAAAACUCAAAUGAAUUGACGGGGUCAUAGCUGUUU